UGACGGUACCACUUGAAUAAGCUCCGGCUAACUACGUGCCAGCAGCCGCGGUAAUACGUAGGGGGCAAGCGUUAUCCGGAUUUACUGGGUGUAAAGGGAGCGUAGGCGGCCGAGCAAGUCAGAAGUGAAAACCCAGGGCUCAACUCUGGGAUUGCUUUUGAAACUGUCCGGCUAGAUUUCAGGAGAGGUAAGCGGAAUUCCUAGUGUAGCGGUGAAAUGCGUAGAUAUUAGGAGGAACACCAGUGGCGAAGGCGGCUUACUGGACUGACAAUGACGCUGAGGCUCGAAAGCGUGGGGAGCAAACAGGAUUAGAUACCCUG
rnacentral:rRNA from 1 species